UACAGAGGUCCCAAGCGUUGUUCGGAUUCACUGGGCGUAAAGCGUGCGCAGGCGGUUUUGUAAGUCUGUCGUGAAAUCCCCGGGCUCAACCUGGGAAUUGCGAUGGAGACUGCAAGGCUAGAAUCUGGCAGAGGGGGGUAGAAUUCCACGUGUAGCAGUGAAAUGACGUAGAGAUGUGGAGGAACACCGAUGGCGAAGGCAGCCCCCUGGGUCAAGAUUGACGCUCAUGCACGAAAGACGUGGGGAGCAACAAGG
rnacentral:rRNA from 1 species